AUUGAACGCUGGCGGCAUGCCUUACACAUGCAAGUCGAACGGUAACAGGUCUUCGGAUGCUGACGAGUGGCGAACGGGUGAGUAAUACAUCGGAACGUGCCCGAUCGUGGGGGAUAACGGAGCGAAAGCUUUGCUAAUACCGCAUACGAUCUACGGAUGAAAGCAGGGGACCGCAAGGCCUUGCGCGGACGGAGCGGCCGAUGGCAGAUUAGGUAGUUGGUGGGAUAAAAGCUUACCAAGCCGACGAUCUGUAGCUGGUCUGAGAGGACGACCAGCCACACUGGGACUGAGACACGGCCAAGACUCCUACGGGAGGCAGCAGUGGGGAAUGUUGGACAAUGGGCGAAAGCCUGAUCCAGCCAUGCCGCGUGCAGGAUGAAGGCCUUCGGGUUGUAAACUGCUUUUGUACGGAACGAAAAGACUCUUUCUAAUAAAGAGGGUCCAUGACGGUACCGUAAGAAUAAGCACCGGCUAACUACGUG
rnacentral:rRNA from 1 species